UAUGGCUGGGAAGACGAGGAAUGGCUUGACGGCGUUGUAAUUAUUGUGCUUUAUAACUGAACUGCGCUUUUGUCAGUGGUCUCCUUCACACAUAGGUCACUCCUGUAUGUUCUCCUUCUCUGUAGCUUCUUGAUAUGACCCUAAGACAUGUGGAUAUGGGUGAAAUAUGGGUGAGAAAUGGAUGAACUCACUUGACGGUUCUCACUGCCUUCAAAAAAAAUGUGCUUUCCACCUUAUUUACGGUUUUGUCAGUGGUCUCCUUCACACCUAGGUCACUCCUGUAUGUUCUCCUUCACUGUAGCUUCUUGAUAUGACCCUAAGAAAUGUGGAUAUGGGUGAAAUAUGGGUGAGAAAUGGAUGAACUCACUUGACGGUUUUCACUGCCUUCAAAAAAAAUGUGCUUUCCACCUUAUUUACGGUUUUGUCAGUGGUCUCCUUCACACCUAGGUCACUCCUGUAUGUUCUCCUUCACUGUAGCUUCUUGAUAUGACCCUAAGACAUGUGGAUAUGGGUGAAAUGUGGGUGGAAAAUGGAUCACUUCACUGGUCGGUUCUCACUCCCUUCAUAAAAAAUUGUGCUUUCCUAUCAAUUUACACUUCUGUCUAUCAUCUCCUUCACCUCUAACCUAACCUAAUACAUCCUCAAGCCUUCUAUCUUCUAAACCAUCCUUAAGACAUGUGGAUAUGGAUGAAAUGUGGGUGGAAAAUGGAUGACUUCACAGGUCGGCUCUCAGUGCCUUCUUAAAAAAAAUGUGCUUUCCUACUUAUUUUUAUACCAAUCUACGCGUCUGUCAAUGAUCUCCUUUACCUCUAACAUAACCUGAUAAAUCCUCAAGCCUUCUAUCUGCUAAACCAUCCUUAAGACAUGCUAAAACCGGAGAUAUUGAGGUUUAUAUUAAGUGCUGUCUCCUCCAUUCACGAGUAUACUUUUAUCAUGGUGGAGAGGGAGAGAGAGAGAAAAGUAUAUUAGUAUGCAUCAAUGGCCAUGCUGCAACGCGCUGGCCAUGCUGAUCUGUGGUGAAGUAACCCUUGAGGCCCCUGACAGCAUUACA